CGAGUGGCGGACGGGUGAGUAAUGUCUGGGAAACUGCCCGGUGGAGGGGGAUAACUACUGGAAACGGUAGCUAAUACCGCAUAACGUCGCAAGACCAAAGAGGGGGACCUUCGGGCCUCUUGCCACCGGAUGUGCCCAGAUGGGAUUAGCUUGUUGGUGAGGUAACGGCUCACCAAGGCAACGAUCCCUAGCUGGUCUGAGAGGAUGACCAGCCACACUGGAACUGAGACACGGUCCAGACUCCUACGGGAGGCAGCAG
rnacentral:rRNA from 1 species